GCCCCAGGCUGCCCGUCACAGUCACACAACCUGAGGGCCGGGAGGCCUGGGCCAGGGCAACCGAUACCCGCCUCAAAGCAGGGUCUCCCGGGGUCAAGCCGCCGGGCUGGGCCCGCGGGACCUGGGCUCCCGGCUCAGGCCUGCCCAGGGCGAGAGGGCGCAGGGAAGGGGCGCAUGGCCGCCGGCUGCCCUCCCUUCGCGUGCCGGCCGGUGGGCCGAGGCCGGCUUGCCCGCCAUUCCCGGGCAGGCCCCGGCGCCGCCGCCACGGGGCCCGUCUGCCCUGGGCCCGGGGGCUCCUCGGUGCAGCGGCCUGGCCCCGCCUCACCCACUGCUCGUCGCUCCGAAGGGGCAGGAAACAGGAGUAGCAUGUCUGUCCUGGGCUCGGCUCCCCGGGGGUGCUGCAGGCGCUUAACAAGGGCGUCCACAGUCUCACCGUGUCACCCAGCCUGGA
rnacentral:lncRNA from 1 species